rnacentral:rRNA from 1 species
ACGAACGCUGGCGGCGUGCCUAAUACAUGCAAGUAGAACGCUGAAGAGAGGAGCUUGCUCUUCUUGGAUGAGUUGCGAACGGGUGAGUAACGCGUAGGUAACCUGCCUGGUAGCGGGGGAUAACUAUUGGAAACGAUAGCUAAUACCGCAUAAAAUUGAUUAUUGCAUGAUAAUUAAUUGAAAGAUGCAACUGCAUCACUACCAGAUGGACCUGCGUUGUAUUAGCUAGUUGGUGAGGUAACGGCUCACCAAGGCGACGAUACAUAGCCGACCUGAGAGGGUGAUCGGCCACACUGGGACUGAGACACGGCCCAGACUCCUACGGGAGGCAGCAGUAGGGAAUCUUCGGCAAUGGGGGGAACCCUGACCGAGCAACGCCGCGUGAGUGAAGAAGGUUUUCGGAUCGUAAAGCUCUGUUGUAAGAGAAGAACGGGUGUGAGAGUGGAAAGUUCACACUGUGACGGUAUCUUACCAGAAAGAGACGGCUAACUACGUG